rnacentral:rRNA from 1 species
UACAGAGGGUGCGAGCGUUAAUCGGAAUUACUGGGCGUAAAGCGUGCGCAGGCGGUUCGUUAAGUUCGAUGUGAAAGCCCCGGGCUCAACCUGGGAACUGCAUUGGAAACUGGCGAGCUUGAAUGCGGCAGAGGGGGGUGGAAUUCCGUGUGUAGCGGUGAAAUGCGUAGAUAUACGGAGGAACACCAGCGGCGAAGGCGGGUACUGGGCCAACACUGACGCUAAAAGUGCGAAAAGCUAGGGGAGCAAACGGGG